UCAUUAUCUCAAUUGUUAGCAAWGUGGUAGMUUUUUUCCCAAAAUUUUCCCAAAAGCUSYCWGMGUUGCMUCUAUUAGAUAGUGAAGCUAUGWGGAAGGUGAUUCAUAAUCCCGGUAYGGAUCACAUWUUAUGWGWCAURUCAUUCAAGUUUCUGACCUAUCAGCUUUAGACGGUAGGGUMUUGGCCUACCGUGGCAAUGACGGGUAACGGGGAAUUAGGGUUCGAUUCCGGAGAGGGAGCCUGAGAGACGGCUACCACAUCUAAGGAAGGCARCAGGCGMGCAAAUUACCCAAUCCUAAUACAGGGAGGUAGUGACAAGAAAUAACAAUACAGGACUUUAACAGUUUUGUAAUUGGAAUGAGUUGAGUAUAAACCCCUUUACAAGUAUCAAUUGGAGGGCAAGUSUGGUGCCAGCAGCCGCGGUAAUUCCAGMUCCAAUAGCGUAUAUUAAAGUUGYUGCAGAUAAAAAGCUCGUAGYUGGAUUUCUGUUAAUAAUUUAUAUAUAAUAUUUAACAUAUUUAUAUAAUAUUAACAUAAUUCAUAUUACUAUUUAUAGUAUAUGAAACUUUACUUUGAGAAAAUUAGAGUGCUUAAAGCAGGCUUUUGCCUUGAAUACUAGAGCAUGGAAUAAUAUUAAAGAUUUUUAUCUUUCUUAUUGGUUCUAAGAUAGAAAUAAUGAUUAAUAGGGACAGUUGGGGGCAUUUGUAUUUAACAGUUAGAGGUGAAAUUCUUAGAUUUGUUAAAGACAAACUAAUGCGAAAGCAUUUGCCAAGGAUGUUUUCAUUAAUCAAGAACGAAAGUUAGGGGAUCGAAGACGAUCAGAUACCGU
rnacentral:rRNA from 1 species